AAUGAAUUCUAUUAAUUCUGACAAACUUCAAGAAUCUUAUUAUAUCUCUGAAAAUUCUUUACAGCUUUGGUUCAGAGGUCUCAGGUAUAAAGGAGCAUUGAAAUCAAGGACGAUGAUGCCAACAAAGACUUAAGGAAGAUAGAAGGCCCAGACCUCCUGUGAAAGUGAGACUUCUUCAUUCAAGCUUCUUUCAAAGAAAUAACGGUUGCUGGACUGUGACCAUCCAAAUGAGAUCUGUCAGCUGGUUUCCUAUCUUUGGCAAUAGGCAAAAUGGAAACCUGUAGCAUGAAGCAGGUUGGGUAUUAGGAAACACGUCUUCUCAGAAGCAGUGAUGAUGCACUGAAACAGGCUGCCCAGGGAGGUGGUGGAGUCACUGUCCCUGUGGGUGAUCAAGGUAAGAGUG